CCUCACUCGACUGACGUCUGCUUUAGGUAUCGCAGCAGGAACCGAAGUACGCCCGAGGACUUCAGGAACCAUGCCGAAGCCACACAGUGAAGCAGGCACUGCCUUCAUUCAGACCCAGCAGCUCCACGCAGCCAUGGCUGACACCUUCCUGGAACACAUGUGCCACCUGGACAUUGAUUCUGCCCCCAUCACGGCCCGUAACACUGGCAUCAUUUGUACCAUUGGGCCUGCUUCCCGAUCUGUGGAGAUGCUGAAGGAGAUGAUUAAGUCUGGAAUGAAUGUGGCUCGGCUGAAUUUCUCUCAUGGAACCCAUGAGUACCAUGCAGAGACCACCAAGAAUGUCCGUGAAGCCACAGAAAGCUUUGCAUCUGAUCCCAUUCUCUACCGUCCUGUUGCUGUGGCUCUGGAUACAAAGGGACCUGAGAUCCGGACUGGACUCAUCAAGGGCAGCGGUACUGCUGAGGUGGAGCUGAAGAAGGGAGCCACUCUGAAGAUCACCCUGGACAACGCUUACAUGGAGAAGUGUGACGAGAACAUCCUGUGGCUGGACUACAAGAACAUCUGCAAGGUGGUGGAGGUGGGCAGCAAGAUCUACGUGGACGAUGGGCUCAUCUCACUGCAGGUGAAGGAGAAAGGUGCUGACUUCCUGGUGACAGAGGUGGAGAAUGGUGGCUCCUUGGGCAGCAAGAAGGGCGUGAACCUGCCCGGUGCUGCUGUGGAUCUCCCCGCUGUGUCGGAAAAGGACAUCCAGGACCUGAAGUUUGGGGUGGAGCAGGAUGUGGACAUGGUGUUUGCAUCUUUCAUCCGCAAGGCAGCCGACGUGCUGUCAGUAAGGUGCUGGGAGAGAAGGGCAAGAACAUCAAGAUCAUCAGCAAAAUCGAGAACCAUGAAGGUGUCUGAAGGUUUGAUGAGAUCUUGGAGGCCAGUGAUGGGAUCAUGGUGGCUCGUGGUGACCUGGGCAUUGAGAUUCCUGCAGAGAAGGUCUUCCUGGCUCAGAAGAUGAUGAUCGGGAGAUGCAACCGAGCUGGGAAGCCUGUCAUCUGUGCCACACAGAUGCUAGAGAGCAUGAUCAAGAAGCCACGCCCCACCCGUGCUGAAGGCAGUGAUGUGGCCAAUGCAGUCCUGGAUGGAGCAGAUUGCAUCAUGCUGUCUGGAGAAACAGCCAAGGGGGACUACCCUCUGGAGGCUGUUCGCAUGCAGCACCUGAUUGCCCGAGAGGCAGAGGCUGCCAUCUACCACUUGCAGCUAUUCGAGGAACUCCGCCGCCUGGCGCCCAUUACCAGCGACCCCACAGAAGCUGCCGCCGUGGGUGCCGUGGAGGCCUCCUUCAAGUGCUGCAGUGGGGCCAUUAUCGUGCUCACCAAGUCUGGCAGGAGUGCUCACCAAGUGGCCAGGUACCGCCCUCGGGCUCCUAUCAUUGCCGUGACUCGCAAUCUCCAGACUGCUCGCCAGGCCCAUAUGUACCGUGGCAUCUUCCCUGUGCUGUGUAAGGAUGCCGUACUGAAUGCCUGGGCUGAGGAUGUCGACCUUCGUGUAAACUUGGCCAUGGAUGUUGGCAAGGCCCGAGGCUUCUUCAAGAAGGGAGAUGUGGUCAUUGUGCUGACCGGGUGGCGCCCUGGCUCUGGAUUCACCAACACCAUGCGUGUAGUGCCUGUACCUUGAUGGCCCUCUGGAGCCCCUCUUCUAGCCCCUGUCCCUUCCCCUCCCC